GCGGGUGUAGUUUAGUGGUAAAACCUCAGCCUUCCAAGCUGAUGAUGUGAGUUCGAUUCUCAUCACCCGCUCCA
rnacentral:tRNA from 32 species